rnacentral:rRNA from 1 species
UACGGAGGAUGCAAGCGUUAUCCGGAAUUAUUGGGCGUAAAGCGUCCGCAGGUGGACAUACAAGUCUGCUGUCAAAGUGCAGAGCUUAACUCUGUAAAGGCGGUGGAAACUGUGGGUCUUGAGUAUGGUAGGGGUAGAGGGAAUUCCCGGUGUAGCGGUGAAAUGCGUAGAUAUCGGGAAGAACACCAGUGGCGAAAGCGCUCUACUGGGCCAUAACUGACACUGAGGGACGAAAGCUAGGGGAGCGAAAGGG